UGUCCCACCUCUCAGCUAAGUGUGCUAAACAGUCCCUCUCAUCUUUCUGCUUUGCAUCUCAAUGAUGAUUAAAAAGCAAGGAAGAAGAGAGACUGAAGGAGAGCCAACCACCUGUAUAGCAGGUUAUUUUGGUCUGCUACGUCAGCAAAGGAGAAAAUGGCUGUGCUUUUCUAGGUCCAACUGAAACAGAAGAGGCUUGAAAGUGUGGAAGACUGUGGUAACUGGAAAACCUGUGUAAUUAUAACAUCCUGA